rfam:Ictidomys tridecemlineatus contig037379, whole genome shotgun sequence.
GUGGUGGCUCAGCGGCAGAGCACUUGCCUUGCAUGUAUGAGGCACUGAGUUUGAUCCUCAGCACCACA